rnacentral:lncRNA from 1 species
CCUCGCCCAGCGUGGCGCGCUGGCGGCCUCCGCAGCCGAGGCUGUGCGCUCCGGUGCUCUGGCGCUGGGCUCGGGCGCGCCCGUGAACAGCGCGGUUUCACACCCAAAGGCACCGUAGUAAAGUGAAGCUAAAAGCCAAAUUGUGCAGGAAGGGGUGGGGGGGAAGGCAGAAGAGUGAGAGGAAAAAUAAGUUUCGGGACAGAACCGAGUGGAGGAAAAAAGAAGUGCUCGCUCCGACGUGUUUGCGUGGCUGCAUGCAAACUGAAACGGACGGAGAUCAGCUAUCAAAGCGAAGACUGCUGCUCCUGUGCUGCCUGUGGCCUGCAGCAUUGCUGAUGUCUGUCCAGGAUACUGACAGCUUUUUCUAGAAUAAUGAAUAGGAAUCACUAAAGGACCAGUUUGGGGGCGUUUGGAAGUACCUUCUAAUUUUCCAAGUGUUUGAGCCACAUUUGUUCAUAUCCUACAGCUGAAUCUCUACUGUCUACAGGUAUCUCUAUUGAUUUUGCUCAAUGACGGAAUCAGAUAUGUCACUUUGUCUUGCUUUCUCGGCACUGCAGCUCUGCAGUGAGCUGAAAUAAAGUGUUAAGAUUUGCAAGGCUGACUUGGCA